GUACUCUCACACUCUCUGAUCCUUUGGAUUUGAGGGGUAGUGGACUUGGGUGUUUGCUGCUUUCCUUGUGGCUCACCUCAAAUAUGUUAGUGCACCUUUCAGUUGGACAUAGUACGGCGUGAUAAGUAUCUUCGCCGGCACCUCGCAAGGGGGUGGCUGAUUGGGAGCUCUGUGCUUUCAAACCGUCUUUGGACAAUCUCUGACA
rnacentral:misc_RNA from 1 species